rnacentral:rRNA from 1 species
ACUAACUCAACGACUAUGUAGGUGCCUAACACGAAAGUGUUAGGGACCUACAUAGUCGUGUAUUUUGGUGUCUGCUGGUCAGCAUCAAUUUCGAUUGUCAUAAAAAGGUCGAGGGGAUGUGGCUCCUUCGGGAGUGUUAUAACCCUUGGCGGAAUGUGGCGAUCGGGAUUGAGGCUUGCACGAUAACGAUUUCCCCUGGCCUCUCAUCGACGUCCGAAUGAUGGAAGCUUGCUGAAGUUGUUUGGACCGUUGGUGAAAAAGGUUGGAAGCGACCGA